GAUCAUGGCUCAGGACGAACGCUAGCUACGGGCUUAACACAUGCAAGUCGAGGGGCAGCAUGGUCUUAGCUUGCUAAGACUGAUGGCGACCGGCGCACGGGUGAGUAACACGUAUCCAACCUGCCGUCUACUCUUGGACAGCCUUCUGAAAGGAAGAUUAAUACAAGAUGGCAUCAUGAGUCCGCAUGUUCACAUGAUUAAAGGUAUUCCGGUAGACGAUGGGGA
rnacentral:rRNA from 1 species